GUCGAGGGGCAGCAUUUCAGUUUGCUUGCAAACUGGAGAUGGCGACCGGCGCACGGGUGAGUAACACGUAUCCAACCUGCCGAUAACUCGGGGAUAGCCUUUCGAAAGAAAGAUUAAUACCCGAUGGUAUAAUCAGACCGCAUGGUCUUAUUAUUAAAGAAUUUCGGUUAUCGAUGGGGAUGCGUUCCAUUAGGCAGUUGGUGAGGUAACGGCUCACCAAACCUUCGAUGGAUAGGGGUUCUGAGAGGAAGGUCCCCCACAUUGGAACUGAGACACGGUCCAAACUCCUACGGGAGGCAGCAGUGAGGAAUAUUGGUCAAUGGGCGCAGGCCUGAACCAGCCAAGUAGCGUGAAGGAUGACUGCCCUAUGGGUUGUAAACUCCUUUUAUAUGGGAAUAAAGUUUUCCACGUGUGGAAUUUUGUAUGUACCAUAUGAAUAAGGAUCGGCUAACUCCGUGCCAGCAGCCGCGGUAAUACGGAGGAUCCGAGCGUUAUCCGGAUUUAUUGGGUUUAAAGGGAGCGUAGGUGGACAGUUAAGUCAGUUGUGAAAGUUUGCGGCUCAACCGUAAAAUUGCAGUUGAUACUGGCUGUCUUGAGUACAGUAGAGGUGGGCGGAAUUCGUGGUGUAGCGGUGAAAUGCUUAGAUAUCACGAAGAACUCCGAUUGCGAAGGCAGCUCACUGGACUGCAACUGACACUGAUGCUCGAAAGUGUGGGUAUCAAACAGGAUUAGAUACCCUGGUAGUCCACACAGUAAACGAUGAAUACUCGCUGUUUGCGAUAUACAGUAAGCGGCCAAGCGAAAGCAUUAAGUAUUCCACCUGGGGAGUACGCCGGCAACGGUGAAACUCAAAGGAAUUGACGGGGGCCCGCACAAGCGGAGGAACAUGUGGUUUAAUUCGAUGAUACGCGAGGAACCUUACCCGGGCUUAAAUUGCAUUUGAAUAANUUGGAAACAGNNUAGCCGCAAGGCAAAUGUGAAGGUGCUGCAUGGUUGUCGUCAGCUCGUGCCGUGAGGUGUCGGCUUAAGUGCCAUAACGAGCGCAACCCUUAUCUUUAGUUACUAACAGGUCAUGCUGAGGACUCUAGAGAGACUGCCGUCGUAAGAUGUGAGGAAGGUGGGGAUGACGUCAAAUCAGCACGGCCCUUACGUCCGGGGCUACACACGUGUUACAAUGGGGGGUACAGAAGGCAGCUACCUGGUGACAGGAUGCUAAUCCCAAAAGCCUCUCUCAGUUCGGAUCGAAGUCUGCAACCCGACUUCGUGAAGCUGGAUUCGCUAGUAAUCGCGCAUCAGCCAUGGCGCGGUGAAUACGUUCCCGGGCCUUGUACACACCGCCCGUCAAGCCAUGAAAGCCGGGGGUACCUGAAGUACGUAACCGCAAGGAG
rnacentral:rRNA from 1 species